rnacentral:misc_RNA from 1 species
UGUAGAUCCUUCCAGUGUAUAGGG